UACGGGGGGGGCAAGCGUUGUUCGGAAUUACUGGGCGUAAAGGGCUCGUAGGCGGCCAACUAAGUCAGACGUGAAAUCCCUCGGCUUAACCGGGGAACUGCGUCUGAUACUGGAUGGCUUGAGGUUGGGAGAGGGAUGCGGAAUUCCAGGUGUAGCGGUGAAAUGCGUAGAUAUCUGGAGGAACACCGGUGGCGAAGGCGGGUCUCUGGGCCAUUACUGACGCUGAGGAGCGAAAGCGUGGGGAGCGAACAGG
rnacentral:rRNA from 1 species